rnacentral:rRNA from 1 species
ACGCUGGCGGCGUGCCUAAUACAUGCAAGUAGAACGCUGAAGAGAGGAGCUUCCUCUUCUUGGAUGAGUUGCGAACGGGUGAGUAACGCGUAGGUAACCUGCCUUGUAGCGGGGGAUAACUAUUGGAAACGAUAGCUAAUACCGCAUAACAAUGGGUGACACAUGUCAUUUAUUUGAAAGGGGCAAUUGCUCCACUACAAGAUGGACCUGCGUUGUAUUAGCUAGUAGGUGAGGUAGCGGCUCACCUAGGCGACGAUACAUAGCCGACCUGAGAGGGUGAUCGGCCACACUGGGACUGAGACACGGCCCAGACUCCUACGGGAGGCAGCAGUAGGGAAUCUUCGGCAAUGGGGGCAACCCUGACCGAGCAACGCCGCGUGAGUGAAGAAGGUUUUCGGAUCGUAAAGCUCUGUUGUAAGUCAAGAACGAGUGUGAGAGUGGAAAGUUCACACUGUGACGGUAGCUUACCAGAAAGGGACGGCUAACUACGUGCCAGCAGCCGCGGUAAUACGUAGGUCCCGAGCGUUGUCCGGAUUUAUUGGGCGUAAAGCGAGCGCAGGCGGUUUGAUAAGUCUGAAGUUAAAGGCUGUGGCUCAACCAUAGUUCGCUUUGGAAACUGUCAAACUUGAGUGCAGAAGGGGAGAGUGGAAUUCCAUGUGUAGCGGUGAAAUGCGUAGAUAUAUGGAGGAACACCGGUGGCGAAAGCGGCUCUCUGGUCUGUAACUGACGCUGAGGCUCGAAAGCGUGGGGAGCGAACAGGAUUAGAUACCCUGGUAGUCCACGCCGUAAACGAUGAGUGCUAGGUGUUGGAUCCUUUCCGGGAUUCAGUGCCGCAGCUAACGCAUUAAGCACUCCGCCUGGGGAGUACGACCGCAAGGUUGAAACUCAAAGGAAUUGACCGGGGGCCCGCACAAGCGG